CGACGUAGAUAGAUAUGCAGACAAACGAAAUUCAAACGAUUGUAGGCCUAGUUUAUCUAGAAUUUUUCUCUGCAGAGAAACAUUUGCACCAUUAUUUUAAGGUGUGGUGGAUGGUUGGAGGAGAUAUGCCAUUGACCCUGGAAAGUUCUCUAGUUUCUUGAUGAGGACUUGUGAUUGUCUAGAGUCCACAGGGCGUUUCAGCACCACAGAACCUGCUUGUCUACUCUUGUGUAUCCUACUACGAGCCUUUAGAGAACAAGCAGCCCCGAUAUUGGGUGUGGUGUUGGUGGUUGGAGGAGAUACGGCAUCGACCCUGGAGAGUUCUCUAGUUUCCUGAUGAGGACUUGUGGAUCGUCUUGUGUCCAGCACCACAGAACCUGCUAGUCUACUCUUGUGUAUCCUACUACGAGCUGUUAGAGAACAAGCUGCCCAUAUUUGAUGUAGCAAUUGGUGUUGGUGGUUGGAGGAGAUACAACAUCGACCCCGGAGAGUUCUCUAGUUUCCUGAUGAGGAUGUGUGAUCGCCUUGUGUCCACGGGGCAUUUCAGCACGACUGAACCUGCUAGUCUACUCCCGCGCAGCUACUACAAGCUGUUAGAGAACAAGCAG